CUAAAAGCAAAGAUGGAGAGAAAAAUACUAAUGCUUUAACUUCAGAGAGCUAACAUUUGGUGGGAGUUAGUGUUUAGGCUGGUAUAUAAUGAUCACUCCUGAGCUGCCUCAUUGAAAGGAUUUCCUAGUAAAUAAGGCUGGUUGCCACCAAUAUAUGGCUAUGGUUCAAAUAGAGUUAUUUUUUUAACUUUAUUUCGACUUGAAUGAAGAUGCAAUUUUAUUUAUUGCAAAAUAGGGUGGUACCACGAAGAUUAUAAUCUUUCGUCCCUAUA
rnacentral:ncRNA from 1 species